rnacentral:rRNA from 1 species
GAGUUUGAUCAUGGCUCAGAUUGAACGCUGGCGGCAGGCCUAACACAUGCAAGUCGAGCGGUAGAGAGAAGCUUGCUUCUCUUGAGAGCGGCGGACGGGUGAGUAAUGCCUAGGAAUCUGCCUGGUAGUGGGGGAUAACGCUCGGAAACGGACGCUAAUACCGCAUACGUCCUACGGGAGAAAGCAGGGGACCUUCGGGCCUUGCGCUAUCAGAUGAGCCUAGGUCGGAUUAGCUAGUUGGUGAGGUAAUGGCUCACCAAGGCGACGAUCCGUAACUGGUCUGAGAGGAUGAUCAGUCACACUGGAACUGAGACACGGUCCAGACUCCUACGGGAGGCAGCAGUGGGGAAUAUUGGACAAUGGGCGAAAGCCUGAUCCAGCCAUGCCGCGUGUGUGAAGAAGGUCUUCGGAUUGUAAAGCACUUUAAGUUGGGAGGAAGGGCAGUAAAUUAAUAACUUUGCUGUUUUGACGUUACCGACAGAAUAAGCACCGGCUAACUCUGUG